AAUGAACGCUGGCGGCGUGCUUAACACAUGCAAGUCGAACGGUAACAGAAGAGCUUGCUCUUGCUGACGAGUGGCGCACGGGUGAGUAAUGCAUAGGUAACGUGCCCCUUAGUCUAGGAUAGCCACUGGAAACGGUGAUUAAUACUGGAUACUCCUUCUCUAUUAAUUAGAGUUGGGAAAGUUUUUCGCUAAGGGAUCGGCCUAUGUUGUAUCAGGUAGUUGGUGAGGUAAUGGCUCACCAAGCCUAUGACACAUAGCGGGUCUGAGAGGAUGAUCCGCCACACUGGUACUGAGACACGGACCAGACUCCUACGGGAGGCAGCAGUGGGGAAUAUUGCACAAUGGACGAAAGUCUGAUGCAGCAACGCCGCGUGGAGGAUGACACAUUUCGGUGCGUAAACUCCUUUUAUAUGAGAAGAUAAUGACGGUAUCAUAUGAAUAAGCACCGGCUAACUCCGUGCCAGCAGCCGCGGUAAUACGAAGGGUGCAAGCGUUAUUCGGAAUCACUGGGCGUAAAGGGUGCGUAGGCGGUUUGAUAAGUCUGAUGUGAAAUCCUAUGGCUCAACCAUAGAACUGCAUUGGAAACUGUCAGACUAGAAUACUGAAGGGGCAGAUGGAAUUAGUGGUGUAGGGGUAAAAUCCGUAGAUAUCACUAGGAAUACCGAAAGCGAAAGCGAUCUGCUGGGAAGUUAUUGACGCUGAGGCACGAAAGCGUGGGGAGCAAACGGGAUUAGAUACCCCGGUAGUCCACGCCCUAAACGAUGAAUGCUAGUCGUCGGAAAGCUCGUCUUUUCGGUGAUGCAGUUAACACAUUAAGCAUUCCGCCUGGGGAGUACGGUCGCAAGAUUAAAACUCAAAGGAAUAGACGGGGACCCGCACAAGUGGUGGAGCAUGUGGUUUAAUUCGAAGAUACGCGAAGAACCUUACCAAGCCUUGACAUUGAUUGAAUUCUUUAGAGAUAGAGAAGUGCCUUUCGAGGAACAUGAAAACAGGUGCUGCACGGCUGUCGUCAGCUCGUGUCGUGAGAUGUUGGGUUAAGUCCCGCAACGAGCGCAACCCUCGUCGUUAGUUGCUAACAGUUCGGCUGAGCACUCUAGCGAGACUGCCUUCGCAAGGAGGAGGAAGGUGAGGACGACGUCAAGUCAUCAUGGCCCUUAUGGCUUGGGCUACACACGUACUACAAUGGGGCGUACAGAGAGUUGCGAUACCGCGAGGUGGAGCUAAUCUCAUAAAGCGUCUCUCAGUUCGGAUUGGACUCUGCAACUCGAGUCCAUGAAGCUGGAAUCACUAGUAAUCGUAGAUCAGCAAUGCUACGGUGAAUACGUUCCCGGGUCU
rnacentral:rRNA from 1 species